ensembl:lincRNA 1700021F13Rik RIKEN cDNA 1700021F13 gene
GGGGUCCACAGGAGGGCUUCCUGUGAACAAUCGAGGGACGGAUGUGUUUGACUCCAUCAAUCCCACCUUUCAAUCCACCGUGUGUCUCUGCACUUUUUGCCUUUGGCUUUCUAGGGGGGCCGUUGGCCCACAUCGAACUGGGCUUAGCUUUUCUGUUUCCAGAAUUUUCUUCCGUUGCUUCAGUUGCCAAUGGGAUCUGUCUUCUAGUCCGGUUUGCCACAACCAAGAAAGUUUAAGCUCAACAAAGUGAAGACCAGACAGUUGAAUGGGAAAAUGAAAAGGAGUGUGAACUAUCCUACAGGAGACAAGAAAAAAUGAGGCAGAGGAAGUGCCUUCGAACAACGAGCAAGGAAAGAAAGAAAAAAAUGAGAAUACCAGCUCGACAGUCCAGAAAUGCCUGGUAUUUGUGAGGUUUAAUUCCCAGUACUGGAGAAGUUUAAAUUAAAAUAUGUAUGUACAAGG